rnacentral:lncRNA from 1 species
GCAAAUUAGCUUUUCUUCAAUCGAAAACUUACUUCAAUCUUGAUUUUAAAAAACCUAUAACAAAUAAAAACACAUUAAUUAUUUUAUAUAAAUUUUAAAUUUCAUAAUUACUAAUUAACAAAUUAACAAAUUUAUAAUUACAUUCUUGAUAUUUCAAAACUUAUAACAAGUCAACUAAACAAUAAUUUAAUUAGUUAAUUAAAACAUUAUAUAAAUAAUUUAUUUAAUUAAAUCAAUUUAUACAUUAUUUACAAAUAAUCAAUUAAAUAAUUAAUUAAAACAUUUAUAAACAAAAAAUUAAAUAAUUAAUAAAUUUAUUAAAAAACAGUAAUUAAGAACAAUAUUAAAUAUUUUUUAUUUAUUUCAAAACAUGGUAUUUUAAUUAUGAUAUAACUAAAUAAUUAAUUAUUUAAAUAAAAUAAUUAAUUUUAUUAAUUUUCUAGAUUAUUUAUUUAUUUUAAAAAAUUAAUAAUUAUUUAACUAGAUUAAAAAGAUUUUUAAAAUCUCACCAAAACGGACAAUCGAGGCGACGUAAUCAAGGCAGGACGGAGGCGGUGGCUACUGGAGAGGCAGUCGGCAGAAACGGCUAUUAUUGAAAAGAUUACAAAUUAAUAAACCUAAUAUAAUGCGAGAAGACAAAUAACGAGGAUCUUAGUAUAAGAAAAAU